CUGAUACAGUUCUGAAUCAUCUACCCCCAUGUCACCACAGUUUAUAACAGAUUAUGUGGGUAGCCCAUUUGCUGAUGAAUAUGGCUUAUUUAUAACAGAUUAUGUGGGUUCCCCACGAUUGAUGACAUUAUUGGCGGGUAUUGGACAGGCUCUCCGUUGUCAAUGCUUCCGAUCUACAAGGAACUCAUAGCUAGUGGUUUACGGGAAUUCAGCAUGGUACCAACAUUGAAAUCACAUGGUGUUGAAAGUUGUUCUAAAACACCAGGCUCUAAUUUGGGCGGUGCAACCUAAUUUCAUUUCAAAUUUCAAAAGCUUCCCUUGUGCUCCCUCACUAUUCUCUUUCACGACUACAAUUAAGGUGAACAUGAAGAAGCGACUGAUAACGAUUAGCGGGCAUUUGAAGUUAUCCAAAAGUGGUGGUAAGUGAGUACGAGGAUGUGCAUGGUAAGACAACGCGACGGUGGGGUGUUGAGGACCUAACCGUCGCCUCCAACAAGGAAUGAGUUGCUGGAGUUUGUGUAGAGCCAGGUCAAAGUCGAGGUCAAGGCCAAGGUCAGCCGACUUGAUACAUUCAGAUUUCAAAAGAAAAUGACCGGUGACGGUGAUCGGUCUACAGGUUGAAGCAUGGCCCCAACCAUCUUCCUACCGAUAUACAUGGAUUCCCUGGGAUACUCCUUGAAUGCAAAAUUCUGACAGUUUCGGAUGCCCAGCAGCGUCUCAAGAGUUUUAGAGAGAAGUUGACACCCGAGGAGUAUCUCGAGUUUCCUGAUAUCAUGAUGGACUUCAGGGAGGGCAGGCUUGACAUGUUGGGAGUCAAAGAAAAUGUUAUAAAACUAUGCGAAACUCAUCAAGAACUGCUUCCGCUUUUCAACAUCUAUCUUCCAGAGAGAGAAAAAAUCACAUUACCACAAGCUGCAAAUGAUGUUAAAAAGGCACCCAAGUUUGACAUUGGUAAACUGAUGGAGGUAACUUUUGUCUAUAUAGUUAUCUUGUUAUCUUGCUAUUUUGCUUUUUUUGUUAUUAUCUUGCUAUUUUGCUUUUUUAUAUUUGUUUUAUAUGUUUUUGUUAAAUAUACAUGUAAAAUAGCAUAUAUUGUAACAUAUAGGCUAAGCACGAAUUGAUAAAAGUUCAGGCAUCUCAAGUGAAAUUAAUGUCUCCCAUUUGAUGAGAAGAUAAUAGAUAGACCACACCGACAUGAAUGUUCCUGAAGGGAUAGCUAAGCUUCCUAAUCUUGAAUCACUUCUUAUUUGGGAUAACUUCUUUAGUGGCACACUGCCACAAGAAUUGGGUAUGCAUUUUAAAACUUUAUAAUGAGGGUUGAUUCCAAGCUAUUUUAGGUUGAUUCCAACCUUAAUUUGGACUUUGUUUUUACAUUUUAGCUAGAAAAUGCCCUGAGGCAUGCCUGAGAGUUCGAAAGCUCGCCAUUCAGGGCGCAAUGCAAAUGUGUUGGGCUGCGCCUGGGCGCCUAGACACGCACCUAGGGGGCUUUUGACAAAUUAGCUGUAGAUGUUGUAUUCGACCUUUCAGCCUCUUUUCUACUUUUUGUGUGUGUUGAGCUGUUGUAUUUUCAAGAUAAGCUUCACUUUGUCUGCAAUCAUUGAAGACACUGAGAUUUUAAUGGAACUCAGAGAAUAUUUUGACCAAAAAAUACAGUUGUCAUCAAGUCAAUAUUACCAUCCUAUUCACUUGGGAUCGAUUUGGGGGCUAUUAGAUGGUUUGUUUUUUGUUUAUUAUGCUAGGCAUAUCUACUCAUCUAUGAGGUUCAUUGCAUUACUCUGAUUUUUUGUAAAAUUUGUUUCGUACCUGUUGUCUGUUGUAUACUUGCACCUCUAGAGGACAUGUGAUGAGCAAAUUAAGCAUAUGAUUUGUUAGACUUGUAUCUCUCCGUGAACAUGAUCGGUGAUAGGAGUUUCCGUACAUACUAUGGUUGGCCGAAAUUGAAAAGGUUAAAAGAGAAAGGAGGAAAGGGCCAUUUUAGGACUUAUUUAGGGCAUGUUUGGCUAAGCUUUUUAAAACAACUUAUUUACUUAUUGGCUUUUUUAAAAGUCAUAAGCUCCAAAAUGAUGUUUGGCAAUGAGGGUGUAUGUGAGGGGAAAAAGCUAAUAAGUCAAUAAGUCACUCCAUACUAACUUUUUCAAAAAGCCAAUAAGUUAAUAAGUUGUUUCAAAAAGCUUAGCCAAACAUGCCCUAGUCUUUAAAUUUGUUGCUUCUGGUUAUUAAUAAUUUAAAACACCAAAUUUGACUUAUUUAGUCACAAGUUUUUUUCAUUUUUGAUUAACUUGUCAGAUGUUCAUAUACAAUUAUAUAUGGUAAAAAGGGAUUUGAAAUUUUAAUUUUUUUUUUGCAAAUAUUUUAUCAAUACAAGCCGAAGCUUGCAAAGAGAAUUCAGCUCCAUUGACGGAUAUAGUUGCCACCUGCUACAAGGCAGCCGAGAAUACCAUGCCCAACUUCUUAGCCGUUAAUUUCUACAUGGUAUUUAGACUUUGUAACACAAGGGUAAAAUGGUAAAUUGUUGUUCUAGCAUAAGCUGCUAACUCUGUGAGUUUGCAGAGAAGUGAUGAGGAGGUGUUUUCGAUGCUUUAGGUAGAAUGAAUGGCCAAACGUUAUGCGGGUGUGUUUCAGUGACUGCGUGUCAGGUUUGUUUUUUGGUUUCGGUUCAUGUAUUGUUUUGUUUUUAUGGGGUUCUUAUGAUGAAGUGAUGAAGAAGAAACCCUUUUUGGCUUGUGAUGAUAAUCUGUUGGUUAUUUUUGACCAUUGAUAUAACCAAUUGUCCUGGCUAUGAUGAUGUAUUUGUAUAUGUCUGAGCCUAUGGAUCCCCUUUUGUUUUGAUGAAUUUGGAUGAUUGAAGGGUCCAAAGAGCGCCCUUUUACCCCUGGGUUUGCUAAAUUGUAACUGAGGUAUGUGAUGAACUGAAUUCGUAUAAUAGAAUGGAGCAAUUUUGGAUCUUAAUGAAGUCUGAUUUCUGGUAAUUAGCGAUGAGUUGAUAAGGGUUACUAUAAAGCUUCGUUUGGAUGCCAGUUUGGUAAUUUUAAUGAUAUCAACGGAUGAGUCUAAUGGGUGUGAUGCUGAGUUUCAGCGACAUAUAACUGAACUCGCUUUCACUCAGUAGCCUCUUAGUAUGCAGCCAUGACGGAUAUGUAUAAUCCCAUAGCUUGGCUUCCAGAACUAGAGGUGUACGUUUCAAAUGCCCUCAAAUCUGUUGACCUUUAUUUGGCGAAAUAUAAUCUCCUGAUGGGUGUUAAGGUGGAGGGGUGGAUGUUUGAAAUUCGAAAAAACAUGAUGAAGUUUAUUAUUUAAUUUUCUGUCCUUCUACUAUUGCAAUGCACUUAUUGUUUGAAAAAACUUAAAGAGGGUUCUAGAUAACUGAAAUUCGAAUAAACAUGAUGAACACGGAUGAUAACUCGAAUUUUCUGGUGCGUGUGUUUGUUCAAUGAUUUUGUUUGAAAUCUGAAUUAUAAAUAGAUGUAUAGGAUUGGUUGUU